UACGUAGGUCCCGAGCGUUAUCCGGAUUUAUUGGGCGUAAAGCGAGCGCAGGCGGUUGGAUAAGUCUAAAGUUAAAGGCUGUGGCUCAACCAUAGUAUGCUUUGGAAACUGUUCAACUUGAGUGCAGAAGGGGAGAGUGGAAUUCCAUGUGUAGCGGUGGAAUGCGUAGAUAUAUGGAGGAACACCGGUGGCGAAAGCGGCUCUCUGGUCUGUAACUGACGCUGAGGCUCGAAAGCGUGGGUAGCGAACAGG
rnacentral:rRNA from 1 species